AUUUUGUGUUUAUUAUAGUGUAUAAAAUUAUUGUAUGUGUUUCAUUGCGCAUGCGUAAAAGCUUCUUUGUGCUCGCAACGAUCAGUAUUAAUUCCAAAAUGGCCGCUUGUGAAUGUUUCCAGUGUUUUAUAACUUUUUAUACAAUACCAGAAUGAUUAUUUAUCUGUUACUUAUUUUAACUCUGUUUUAGUGCAAUUGAAAAUUGAAAUGACAAUAAUAUUUUUUUGUGUUCAUUAUAAUGUGUAUGUUUACGGUGUGUUACUUUAAUAUUAAUAGCACGUGCAUUGUGUUUUAUUUAAUACCAAAAUAAUCAUUUAUUUGUUAUUUGUUUCUAAUUCUAUUUUGGUGCAAUUGGAAAUUCAAAUGGCAAUAAUAUUGUCUUUGUGUUUGUUGUAUAUAUACUAUGUGUUAUUUUAAUAUAAUAGCUUGUGGAUUGUAUUGCUGCUGAAAUCCAUAAAUUAUUAAUAGCACUGUUUCACUGCUUGGUUAUGAGUGGUUUAUAUUUAUACAGCUUUUGUUUAUUUGAUUUAAUUUAAUAUGUUCAUAAUGUAUAGUAUCACACAGUCACUAUUGCGUAAUAUAACUUUACUUCUUUAUACCAGAUUCAAUAUAAUGAUACUAUAAUAGAUCAAUACAAUAUAAUAAUCUCUUAUUCUAAUCGUGUUUGUCGUUGAUACUCAGUUAAUCUGUCUUGAUUAAUUUCUAACUUAUUUCUAUAUUUAUUGGUUGUUUCUAUUUCCUUCUUAUUAGUUUUUCGUUACUUUAUACUUGUGAUUUGCUGUUAUUUCAUAUUUGUAUGGUAUAAUUUUUAGAGCUAAUCCAUAUAUUAUUAGUUAGAGCUUGUGUAUUGAAUUAUUAUUGUUUAUAGGUUCUUUGAUUCUAUUUUUUUCAAUGCUGCGUCACGUGUUUGGAACAUUUACACAUUGUGUGUUUUGCAUUGUCUGGUUCUUCGUUACAUUCUCAACACUUAUUAUGAAUACUUUUAUUUAUCCUACAUCUGUUCUCCAAUUUUAUUCUCCAAGUCUGUACACUGAGUCGCUCACAUUGUGGACAUUUACACAGUGCAUGUUCGGCAUCAUCUGGUUCUUCGUUACAUUGUCAACACUUAUUAUGACUAUUUUUAUUUAUGUUAGAUCUUUUCCUGUUGCCUUCUUAACUGUUCCAGUAGUAUCUGCUUUAAUACUCUCUAUUCAAUUAAAUUUGGUAGUAAGCUUCUCAUAACUGUGUUGGCUUUUGUGUAUAUGUUAUAAUUGUCAAUCUUAAUAUUUAUUACCUUCAGUAUUCUCGUACCUGUAAGUGAAAUGGUCUCGGUUUUUUUUUCAUUGGCCAACUGUAAGUCUGUUGUCGAACAUCAAUUAUUGACUGUUAUCAUCACUUCUUUUAGUUUAACUUUAAUAUUAAGUUAUAAAUGUUUAAUAUCAUUUUUUUUCCUUUUUUUUUAUUAAGGCAAUUGAGGUUAAUCUAUCCAUUUCUUUCAGCUGACCAUCAUAUACUAUGUUCUACAAAAAUGGACCCAUGACCAAUCCCUGUGGAAUUUCUGCAUAUACAUUUCUUUCUACGAUAAUUAAUUAUGUACAAGUCCCAUUGAUUUAUAAGGUUCCGCUAUCUUCAUUAUUCGACAAGCAGCGUUAUACUAUAUACUACCAUACUACGUUGCCUCUUAAAAUCGUUUUGGCUAUUGUCUAUUUCGGUUGUGUGCUAGUUUUAACUUGUUCAAGUGUACUGUUCGCAGAAUCCCCUUCAUUUCAAUCUUGACGUUUUGAUUCUGCAAAAUUUCUAACACUUUAUCCGGCCGUGUAUAUUGGUCAGAAAAUUUUCCUUUGCUAGGUUCCUUAGUAGAUAUACCAGAUCUCCUACUUUGAAAUUUUGCGGGUUGAUUCGUCUGUCGUAAUAUUCUUUUGACUUUAACUGGGAUUUCAUCAAAUUUUCUCUUGCCAUUUGCUGCACGGUGUUGAUUUUAUCAAACAGGUCUCUGAGAUAUUCCGCAUAUGUUGGUUCCAUGUUCUCUUCGAUUAUCAUUUCACCAGUGGGUUCCCUGGCCAAGUGCCCAAAGACUAAUUCAUGCGGAGAGAAUUUCGUUCCUUCGUGUACAGAGGUGUUAUAAGAAAACAUGGAUAAUUCCACUUAUUCGUCCCAGUUUCUGGAAUUUUCGAUGUAUAACUUGAGAUAUUCGGUGAACACGUGAUGAGAUCUUUCAAUUGAACUGCUGCUUUAUCUAUGGUAUGCCGACGUGGUGUAUUGUUUGAUGCGAAGUCUCUUUGCCACUUUCUUCAUUAGCGAAGAUGUAAAGUUCGCUCCCUAGUUGGUAAGAAUGGUGACCCGAAUCGGCAAAUAAAUCGUUUUACGAAAACGUUCGCUAUCUCAGCUGAGGAGAUCCCUUCUAUCGGAAUCCCGAUCGAAUACUUUGUCAAUAAAUCUUGAAUAGUUAAUAUAUAUUCAUUUCCCUUUUGUGUUCUUGGUAAUGGACCGAUGAUAUCCAUACUAAUUUUGUCGCAGGUUUUGCCCGGUGUAUCCGUGAGCACUAUUGGUUGUUUUGUUUUUAUUCUAGUCAGCUUCUUCAAUUGGCAUUCCUUACAGGUUCUUAUAUAUUCUUGAAUUUCCUUCUUCAUGUUUUCCCAGUAAUAAUAUCGUAUUCUUUGAUAAGUCUUCGUUACUCCUUUGUGUCCCGCUACGCAUGAUUCGUGUUUCUCUUGUAUUAUAUUAUUUCGUAUUUCAACUGGUGAUGUGAUUACUUCCCCAGUGCAGGUGGUGAUAGUUAUGGUUUUUUCCAUAAAUACUCCCUUCAAUUCCCUGAUUGCGCGUCGCCAGGGUAUUUCUUCCAAAUUUCCUUUACUAAUGCUAAAGGACGUUAAUUAUUUUUCGCUUACUACGUUCAGUAAGGAUCUCAAUGAAUUUAGUAAACUUUCUGGCGUUAUAGGAAUAUUUCGGUUUUCCUUUACGGGUAGGAAUAUGAUGUGUUUUUCAGAGUCUUGAUUCAACCUUACUCUUUUCAACAUUAGGUCUUCAUAAUGCGGCAGUUUCCCUGCUUCCUUCAUUUCUAAGGCUCCUUUAUUUAUCGGAGCACACUGUAUAUCGACGAAUAUUACUUUAUGAUCAUUCACUCUCGUAACUGAGUCUCGCGUUUCCGAAAUUUUUAGUUCCGCAAGUACCAUAGAUCUCGCGUCUUCUCCUCGUUGCCGAGUUGCUUCAGAGUCCGCCGUAGAAGGCUCUUCCUCACUUAUUGCUUCGAUGUCCUCUAUUUCUCGAUCGGCUACUUCCUCGCCUGUGUUUACAUCGAUUUCGGCUAAUGCUUGGUCAAAAUAUUUUACGAGUGUUUCUUCUAUGGCAAGGUGUUUUGAAGUAAAGGCUUUUCCUUGUUUUCUCGGAUCAUAAAACUAAGGCAAGACGCGUGGUUUAGCUUCAAAUAUGGGAGGGCCCUCGGUUGAGAUAGCCAAUUAAAAUCUUUAGAUGUGAAUAUCGAUCUGGCGAGUCUUCUCGCUUCCUGAUUGGCAGGCACACCCCUGGUGGGUUUCUAGAUAAUGCAUCCGCGUUUGCAUUUGUUCGUCCUUCUUUGUAUUGGAUAUCAAACUCGAAGUCUGCUAAUUUCAGUUUCCAUUUCCAAAUUCUCGACGUGGGAUCCUUAAUGGAAUUCAUCCAUACUAACGGUUUGUGGCCUGUUACUAUAGUAAAUUUCCUACCAUACAGGUAUGGUAGGAAAUGCAUCUCGCAGUAGACGAUUGCUAGACACUCUUUUUCUAUGGUGGAGUAGUUUCGUUCGGCGGGGUUUAGUAAUCUGGAGGCGUACGCGAUUGGUAAAUCCUUUUCCAAACGGUCCCUGAUUCAAUACUCCGCCUACUGCGUAUCCUGAUGCGUCUGUCGUUCCCGCAUGGAGGACUUGCUUAUGUAGGUCUAUGGGGGCUGGCAAACCCACGUUCCCGCAGCCAGGGAGGACCGUCGGGACAAGCGUCCCGCUUACGUGAGUCCUCUAUGUACACCUCAGGGAAGGUCGCCGGGAGUGUAAGCGUAAGGUACGGUUACACUCUCUCUACGUGGCCUUGGGUAGUAGCGCACCCACGAUCCUGAUGCCAAGGAUGGUACCGUCGGAGUAAGUUCCCGGGUACUUUGUACCUUGAAGCCCCCACUUAUGUGAGUCCCAUCUGGAUCUGCC